AUUGAUUGAUAAAUUGUGGUGUGAUUAGCCUACACUGGGAUGCUUCUUCAUCCUUCUGAUCAGAUCUGAGAGAGAGUGAAACCGCCAACUCUGGCGGCAUUUGGCCCUCCCCGCAGCUCCACUCCAAAUUUAGGUAUUUGACGGCAGUACUGGAGGACCCAAUUUAGAGUAAGAGUAGGGAGGACGUGUUCCUCUUGUCCCAUUGACACCACAAUUUUGGGAGACUGGGUGGGAAUGAUUUAGAGCUGUGAGGCGGUGUCCCCAGUUAGCCCAUUAUCAUUCCAGCUGCUGUUGCUGCUGCUACAAGAUUGUUGUGUCCAGUAAGUAAUUGCACACUGCUGCCGCUGCUGCGAGUGUGUGUGUGUGUAUGUGAGAGGGAGAGUUUGCUAUACUGGAGGCCAGUUGGGUGACCCGAAGACGGAGUGGCCAGUUGUGUGCUGUUGCGAAGCUGAGCGCAGGAGACAAAACUCCUCCAGAGGGACUCGUGGGGUCUGAUUCCAUGGAGGGACAGCUAAUCCAUGAGGCUGGCCAUGUUGAUUAUGCCCUUGCUACGGUUCCAGUUGGAACGCAGGGUGCUGCAGCGAUGGACCCCCGUCGUCGCAACAACAACAACAACAACAGGGCUUCCAGUGGCCAUGGAAUCGUCGAGGAUCUCCUCGCAGACCUUCCGCCGCCGUGGCGGCUACAAAUGUUUCCUCGGAUCAGUUGUCCUACUCUUCCUCGCGAGGAGGAGGAGGACAACUGAUCGAUCAUCACCGAUUCCGCCUUCUCGCAUACACCGCUUCGAAGAAGGACGGAUGUUCUCUCGCGUGGGAGAGCAUGUUGGCUAAGAGAGACUGCAUAUGAUGUGUGAGCAAGUCGUAAAAAUGAUCAAUGGGAGGUAAACGACUUCGCCGCAUCGACAACACUUAGAAAGCAAUGUCUAAUUACUUUCUAAGUUUUAGUUUCGUUUGUUUUUUUCAGUUUUUAUUGUGUGUUUUAUUGUGUGUCCGGAAAAGAAAAAAAGCGAAAAAAAAAAAAAAAAAAAAAAAGUUGCUCGCUCUCGCGCUGCAAAAGCACAGGGAGGGGGUCAUAUCUUUGUUGUAGCUCAAUCGGGACUUGUAGUAGUGCCUUUACCUGCUCGAAUUUAAUUUGCACAUGCAAUACAUACGUUUCCGUCGUAAUGGCGACGGGUUUACUCACGCA